GUUCUCUGUUUAUUACAGAGCAAAAGAAGGGAGGGGAAGAGUGAGCGAAUGAGGGAGGGUGGAACAGAGGUAGAGAGAUUCACACAGCAUAGCCAUCACUGGGUAGACAGCAUCCUUCCGAAACACACUCACGAGCAAACAAAAAGAGGCUAAACACAUCAGAAUCCUUUCAGACGACAACAGAACACAGUCCUUCAACAGAGGUUGCUCUCCAGGAUGGCUGGCAUAAAGGAUCAGCAGUUCACUGAAGAGAAACCGCUACUGCCAGAAUCCAGGGGACAGGAAACAGAGAUGGCUAAAGGACAGUGUGUGCACGCGCUGCCCUGUGCUACGCCAUCCCCCCCCACGGCUCGCCCCCCAAAACGCUGGCAUGCCAUCGCCCAACACUGGCUCGGCCUGACACGCCGUCGGACCAGCGGGUACUUCCCGGUAGGCUAAUUACCGCACAGAGCAUGUCCACGCUUCCAACUAAAAGAUAGUCAUUUUUCUCAAGUCCUUUGUUACCAUAUCUCUGUUAGAAAAGACCAAACAAGGCCUAAUAUUUUCUCUCUCCCCAAGUCUCAUUCUCUAAAAACCCAUUCUGUUUCACAUAGCCUACUGUCUGAUUUGGGGAAAAAUUACAGAUUUGAAAUUGUGAUGCAACAUAAAAAUGUUCUUUUUGGCACAAUGUUUAUAUUUAAACACACUGCUAAUUAACAG
rnacentral:lncRNA from 1 species